rnacentral:lncRNA from 1 species
CCACGACUGACAGCUGCGGGAGCCGGGAGUUCGCCCUCCGCCAGGACCCGGGAGGAGAAUCCCCAAACCGUGACCCGGAGACUCGGGGCCGCCUUUUGUGGAACCCACGCGGGGUUGCGGCAACGCACACGCCGGCCGGCCCUGGUGAGCUCCUCGGGCGAGCGGUUUGUUUCCCUCCUUUCUUUUCCUCUCACCCCUCACCCCGCACCCCACCCCUUAAAAAUCCCUGUUGCAAGUGUAAUCAAAUGCUUGAUAGCAUCUCCCACACUCUCCCUGCACUGGUGCAUUAUCAGAUCCGGGAAGGCAUGCUUCCAGGCAAAUAGACCUAAUAAAUGCUAUUACUGGGAUUCUGCAAGCCCCGGCUGCACCAUAGUAACGAAAGCCCCGGCUAAUUUGGUUUAAGAAAACGAUCAACUGCACAGAGAGUGUGAGUGUGGAGCCUGUAUCUCUCCUCCCCACGCCGCCUCCCUUUCACACCAGCUCAAGAAGGCCCCAUGUG